rnacentral:rRNA from 1 species
UACGUAGGGGGCAAGCGUUGUUCGGAAUUACUGGGCGUAAAGGGCGCGUAGGCGGCACAGCAAGUCGGGAGUGAAAGCCCGGGGCUCAACCCCGGAAUGGCUUUCGAAACUGCUGAGCUAGAGUACAGAAGGGGCAAUCGGAAUUCUUGGUGUAGCGGUGAAAUGCGUAGAUAUCAAGAGGAACACCUGAGGUGAAGACGGGUUGCUGGGCUGAUACUGACGCUGAGGCGCGAAAGCUAGGGUAGCAAACGGG